rnacentral:rRNA from 1 species
UACAGAGACUGCAAGCGUUAUUCGGAUUCACUGGGCGUAAAGGGUGCGCAGGCGGCCGAGUGUGUGAGGCGUGAAAGCCCGGGGCUUAACCCCGGAAUUGCACCUCAAACUACACGGCUAGAGCAUUGGAGAGGGUAGCAGAAUUCAUGGUGUAGCAGUGAAAUGCGUAGAUAUCAUGAGGAAUACCAGAGGCGAAGGCGGCUACCUGGACAAUUGCUGACGCUCAGGCACGAAAGCGUGGGGAGCAAACGGG